rnacentral:rRNA from 1 species
CCCUUAGAUGUCCUGGGCUGCACGCGCGCUACACUGAUGCGUCCAAUAAGCACCUAACCUAAUCCGAAGGGACCGGGUAACCUUAGCAAAGCGCAUCGUGAUGGGGAUAGAUUAUUGCAAUUAUUAAUCUUCAACGAGGAAUGCCUAGUAGGCGCAAGUCAUCAGCUUGCGUCGAUUACGUCCCUGCCCUUUGUACACACCGCCCGUCGCUCCUACCGAUUGGGUGUGCUGGUGAAAUGUUCGGAUCGGCCGUUUGUCGCGGUUUCCGCGUCAUGUGGCUGAGAAGUUCAUUAAACCCUCCCACCGAGAGGAAGGAGAAGUCGUAACA